GACGAACGCUGGCGGCGUGCUUAACACAUGCAAGUCGAACGAAGAGCGAUGGAAGCUUGCUUCUAUCAAUCUUAGUGGCGAACGGGUGAGUAACGCGUAAUCAACCUGCCCUUCAGAGGGGGAUAACAGUUGGAAACGACUGCUAAUACCGCAUACGAUCUAAUCUCGGCAUCGAGGAUAGAUGAAAGGUGGCCUCUACAUGUAAGCUAUCACUGAAGGAGGGGAUUGCGUCUGAUUAGCUAGUUGGAGGGGUAACGGCCCACCAAGGCGAUGAUCAGUAGCCGGUCUGAGAGGAUGAACGGCCACAUUGGGACUGAGACACGGCCCAGACUCCUACGGGAGGCAGCAGUGGGGAAUCUUCCGCAAUGGACGAAAGUCUGACGGAGCAACGCCGCGUGAGUGAUGACGGCCUUCGGGUUGUAAAGCUCUGUUAAUCGGGACGAAAGGCCUUCUUGCGAAUAGUGAGAAG
rnacentral:rRNA from 1 species